UACGGAAGGCAGCAGUGGGGAAUAUUGCACAAUGGGCGCAAGCCUGAUGCAGCCAUGCCGCGUGUAUGAAGAAGGCCUUCGGGUUGUAAAGUACUUUCAGCGGGGAGGAAGGCGGUGGAGUUAAUAGCUUCACCGAUUGACGUUACCCGCAGAAGAAGCACCGGCUAACUCCGUGCCAGCAGCCGCGGUAAUACGGAGGGUGCAAGCGUUAAUCGGAAUUACUGGGCGUAAAGCGCACGCAGGCGGUCUGUCAAGUCGGAUGUGAAAUCCCCGGGCUUAACCUGGGAACUGCAUUCGAAACUGGCAGGCUAGAGUCUUGUAGAGGGGGUAGAAUUCCAGGUGUAGCGGUGAAAUGCGUAGAGAUCUGGAGGAAUACCGGUGGCGAAGGCGGCCCCUGGGACAAGACUGACGCUCAGGUGCGAAAGCGUGGGGAGCAAACGAGGAUUAGGAUACC
rnacentral:rRNA from 1 species